GCUUUCUACAGGUACCAGCUAACAGGAAACGGAAGCUCAGAGAGGGAACACUGCUUUACACAGGUGAGGAGCGUGAGGUUGGCGGUGACUCGCCUGAGUUCAUCCCAGGAAGCCAUCUCUGUCUCUCACAAAGCCCCGUGUGAGCAAAGGUUCACACAACUGGCACAGCCAUGCAGUUGUGGCCCUGCUGUACCUUGGAAAAGAUGCAAGACACAGCCUGUGUGUUUCCAGGAUGCGCUGUUCCACACUCGUGCUUCUGCUGAUGUUGGAGGGAGCAGAAACUUGAGAGUGUGUAAGUUGUAAUGUGUCCUACCCCGGAUCCCAUGAUGCAAGGGAAAGGCGAAGCUGAGGAGGUACAGCAAGGUGUCUUCAGUGGACACAGACUGAAGCUGGCUCUAACCACGUGCAUCUGGCGAUGGAAUUGGCAGCUCAAGGGCAGGCUGCCAUAUGCCUUCCAAGGUCCCUCUGGUGUAACAGAACAAGGAUGACUGCAUUGCUCCAGCCCCUGGGAUAAUAACGCACCUGCUCGUUUGCAGUAGAUUGGGCAUGAGAAAGGAGGUGAAUGCCACAGUCAGUUCAGUCCCAGGCUAAUCAUUACAAUUAUCGGAGGCAUACCGCAUUGUGUGGGGACAAAAGUCCCUUCCUCUGGUGUCCCCGAGCUGGCUUUGUGGUGUGGGUGACACUUAAGGCUGGCCGUGAAGGAGAAAGGAAACACCUGUGUGAUGGUUAGUUCGCUAACUUGAUGCUGCUGUAACAGGCACGGGGUGGGGGUGAGGCAUUUCCUUGAUUAAUGACUGAUGUGGGAGGGCCCAGCCCAUUGUGGGCACUGCUACCCCUGGGCAGGAUCAGCACCCCUUUAUGAUCUCUGCUUCAGUUCCUGCCUCCAGGUUCCUGCUUUGACUACCUUCCAUGAUAACGUGCUAGUGAGACGUCUGUGUGAAAACCCUUUCCUACCUGAGCUGCUUUCAGCCAUGGUCUUUACCAUAGCAAUAGGAAGUAAAAUCAAAUGGCUGGACUACGGAGAGAUGUUUGGCAAUUGUCUGAGAAGCCGUGGGCACGAUCCUAUUUGCUCUUUCUUCUUCCUCUCUGCUUCUGGAUGAGCCAUUUUGCAAAACUUGAUGUGAGGUCAUGGGUUAAAAGGACAUACCUCUCAGCAGGUGGUCAGGGCAGUGGUGGUUCCAGAAGCAUCUACAGUAUGCCAGAGGCCCCGUAUGGAAGGGAAGCCCAGCUUUGUCUUGGUUUGUUGUCAUAGGCACCUGCCACGGGUACAGGAUUGGUCCAUGUUCCCUCAUAGAACCUUGCUCUGUUCCUCUGUGGAUGUCACAUCGUGGGUCAGUCCAGUGGCCGUCCUGCUGACAGAGAAGCGAUGGUUGCUUCAGAAGUGUGAUUUUGCAGAACUUUAACUACACAGGCUGACAAAACCCUAACCAAGAGUGCACAGUCUUCCUUUAUCAUCAGCUACCUUAGAACUGCCGGCCUUCAGAGUGCUGUGGACAGGGUCUGGUUCCCAGGCUGUUCCCAGCACAGAGGACGCCCUCCCCCCACUGCACCAAAGCCUGUGUUAGCAGCUGGAGGCAGUUCCACCUGUGGGCCUUUUAGCCUUUCUUCGCAUUUUUCUGCCUUUAACAACACAGCGAGUGAGGGUCUACUGUUUCUACUUAAUUUCUGAAUAUUUGUCUACUAUCACACAGCAUUUGUGAUAAGAUCCAUUUCCCGUUCAACAGCUUCAAACUUAGCACCUGAGGCAACUUUCUGUCUUAGUGGGACACAGAUGAGAGUGAGCCCUGGAAUUGAUGGGGUCUUAGGCUCGCUCUAAAAUACCCUUGUGGGCAUGCUGUCUCAAGCUCCUGAAGGUGGGGUCCCUCCUCUCCUCUCUCUCUCUCAUGCCCACUCCCCCCUCAAUUAUCUGGGAGAAAAGGAUAACGGUAAGUGGACAGGAGAUUUUACAAAUCCGGAUUUAUUCUUAGAAAAUACGCAGGCUUAUAUUUUUAUUUUAUCAUGCCUUUGGGGUGUCUUCUGUGGAUUCCCUCUCCCCCCUCUCCUCCCUCUCCCUUUUCUUUUCACCUUUCUCCCUUCCUAUUUUCUUCCUCCUAUACCCUUCUACACCCCUAUGUUCUCUCCUCCCUGCCCCACCCCACCCUUCCUCCUUUAUAGCCCAGUCUCACCCCUUCAGAACAUGUCGGUAAAACACAAAUCUCAGAACAGUCUGCUGGGGGCAACUCACUCAGCCUUAUGUGUUGGCCUCUUGGUGAAGCUAGCGUGGACCACGUGUCAUGUCUGCAGUGCCUGGGUCUCUGGAAUCACAAUGUUCAGGCCAUAGGCAGCUGUGUUACCUAGGAUGCAGUGCAGGGCAUCUGUCUCUUUUGACCAUGCUCACCAAGGCUAGAGGACCACGGGCAUCAGUGGAGCUGUGGAGUGUGGAGGGAUCAGGGAGUGUGGUCCCCACACUGGGCCAUGCUGCCCUAUUCUGCAGUAGUCCCUGAGGUGCUUGGUUGGUUGUGUGCCUUUUCUUGGAGGGACAUCUGGUCUGACAGAUGGGUCCCUGUUUGUUUUCCAGUGCAGUGACAGGUCAUUUCUGCAUACACAACUGUAGGGACUAAAGGACUCUAGAGAGAUGCAAACCUGCUUCAGGACUGCCACCAGAAGGAAAUUGGAGCCCAUUUUUACACACUCAGCUGGAGAUGGUAAAGUCUGCCCCUGGUCUCUGAAAUUCCUUCUGGGACCUUUGGGACAGAAGGGACGUGGCUCUGCAGUUCAGUGAGUAAUGCCUUGGGAACUUGCCACAUGGAACUCUCUAGGACAUGUGUACGUGGUUCACUCAUCUCUUCUACUCAGAGAAUCAUUCAAGGGUGGCAGAGAUAUCCCUCUUGGGGCUUGGGAGCUGGGAUAGAGUGGGGUGGACCUUUUGCUUGCAAGAGAAUGCAGGGCUAAGCAGUAAGGUGGCCUGGACUUCGCCUUCCUGGCCCAAGGUGUCUGCUGCUUGUUCCCAGAAGCACGAGAUCCCUUCUCCAGAGCCCUUAAAACCAGCAAACACCAGCAGGGAGGUGUCUCAUUUUGAACACUACACUUGGAACUUUCCCUUCAGAAGUGGUUCAGGGGUCCCCAGCAUUACCAUCUGGCUAUGGGUGUGGUUUUGGCCCUGCCAAUCACCGUUUAUUGAAUGGACACUUUGUGAACAUUGGAAAUCCAAUGCAGUCCAUGCCCAGGUACUGUUGGGCAGCAAGGGCUGCACUUGGAGGUAGACACGGCCUCUGUUCGUGACUGAAGAAUUUGUCUGAACCGUGUUUGAAUCCAGUCCCCAUGAGCCACGGUGAGAGGUGCUGAGCUCUGGGCUAAGGAGUUUCUCCCCAGGUUCCGCUGCAUUUCCGACUUCUGCAAAUAGAUGGCACUUUCGGCUAACCCUAGAGCGGCCGAGAACUAUAGCGACGCGGAGUGAAAUGCCUUCCUUGCUAUUCUACUGGAAGCCAAGAAAUUAAAAUUAAGCCUCUCUGAAGACAGCUUUCUGGAGCUCUCUUAAAUGCUAAAACCUUAAACACACAACCACCCAGGUAUGAAAAGGAGUGCAUUGUGCUGUAUGCUCUCACAGUUUUUAGUAUUCAUCGAGGCAUGGCAGUCUUCGAUCCUGGAUAGUGGGAGUGGGGCGGGGGGGAUUCUAUAAAGAAAGUUUUAUUUG
rnacentral:lncRNA from 1 species